AAAGCGCCUGUAGGUUGUUUAAUAAGUCUGUUGUUAAAGACUAGGGCUUAACCCUAGAAAAGCAAUGGAAACUACUAGACUAGAGUAUGGCAGGGGUAGAGGGAAUUUCUAGUGUAGCGGUGAAAUGCGUAGAUAUUAGAAAGAACACCGGUGGCGAAAGCGCUCUACUGGACCAUUACUGACACUCAGAGGCGAAAGCUAGGGUAGCAAAAGGGAUUAGAUACCCCUGUAGUCCUAGCCGUAAACGAUGGAUACUACAUGUUGUGUUUAUUUCACAGUAUGGUAGCUAACGCGUUAAGUAUCCCGCCUGGGGAGUACGCUCGCAAGGGUGAAACUCAAAGGAAUUGACGGGGGCCCGCACAAGCGGUGGAGCAUGUGGUUUAAUUCGAUGCAACGCGAAGAACCUUACCAGGGCUUGACAUACUGCGAAUCUUUCCGAAAGGAAAGAGUGCCUUCGGGAAUGCAGAUACAGGUGGUGCAUGGCUGUCGUCAGCUCGUGUCGUGAGAUGUUGGGUUAAGUCCCGCAACGAGCGCAACCCUUGUUUUUAGUUACCAAUUCGUUGGGUUUUCUAGAAAGACUGCCGGUGACAAACCGGAGGAAGGUGAGGAUGACGUCAAGUCAGCAUGCCCCUUAUGUCCUGGGCUACACACGUGCUACAAUGGUUAGGACAAAGAGUUGCGAGCUUGUGAAAGUCAGCUA
rnacentral:rRNA from 1 species